rnacentral:pre_miRNA from 1 species
AUGAGGUAGGAAGAGGAAUAAAUAUUUUAGGAGCAGUGCGAAUGGGAACACGGAGGAAAUCCUGAGCUAUCCGCCUGCGCCUCUAGAACCAUAGGUGCAUAUCUACCUCAGUGUUUCCCCAUGCCUCCAUUCCUAUUGUUCUUAGGUUCACCUUCCCCUUCCUUUUACCU